AGAGUUUGAUCCUGGCUCAGGACGAACGCUGGCGGCGUGCCUAAUACAUGCAAGUCGAGCGGAGCACUUCGGUGCUUAGCGGCGGACGGGUGAGUAACACGUAGGCAACCUGCCUAUAAGACUGGGAUAACUAUCGGAAACGAUAGCUAAGACCGGAUAACUGGUUUUCUCGCAUGAGAGAAUCAUGAAACACGGAGCAAUCUGUGGCUUAUAGAUGGGCCUGCGGCGCAUUAGCUAGUUGGUAGGGUAACGGCCUACCAAGGCGACGAUGCGUAGCCGACCUGAGAGGGUGAACGGCCACACUGGGACUGAGACACGGCCCAGACUCCUACGGGAGGCAGCAGUAGGGAAUCUUCCGCAAUGGACGCAAGUCUGACGGAGCAACGCCGCGUGAGUGAUGAAGGUUUUCGGAUCGUAAAGCUCUGUUGCCCUAGACGAACAGCAAGGUGAGUAACUGCGCUUUGUGUGACGGUAUAGGAGAAGAAAGCCCCGGCUAACUACGUGCCAGCAGCCGCGGUAAUACGUAGGGGGCAAGCGUUGUCCGGAAUUAUUGGGCGUAAAGCGCGCGCAGGCGGUUAAUUAAGUUGGGUGUUUAAGCCCGGGGCUCAACCCCGGUUCGCAUCCAAAACUGGUUGACUUGAGUGUAGGAGAGGAAAGUGGAAUUCCACGUGUAGCGGUGAAAUGCGUAGAGAUGUGGAGGAACACCAGUGGCGAAGGCGACUUUCUGGCCUAUAACUGACGCUGAGGCGCGAAAGCGUGGGGAGCAAACAGGAUUAGAUACCCUAGUAGUCC
rnacentral:rRNA from 1 species